rnacentral:rRNA from 1 species
UACGGAGGGAGCUAGCGUUGUUCGGAAUCACUGGGCGUAAAGGGCGCGUAGGUGGCGCGGGCAGUCAACGGUGAAAGUUCGGGGCUCAACCCUGAAUCGGCCGUCGAUACUCCCGGGCUUGAGCACUGUAGAGGCAGAUGGAAUUCCGGGUGUAGCGGUGGAAUGCGUAGAGAUCCGGAAGAACACCGGUGGCGAAGGCGGUCUGCUGGGCAGUAGCUGACACUGAGGCGCGACAGCGUGGGGAGCAAACAGG